rnacentral:rRNA from 1 species
UACGUAGGGGCCUAGCGUUGUCCGGAAUUAUUGGGCGUAAAGGGCUCGUAGGCGGUCCGUCACGUCGGGAGUGAAAACUCAGGGCUCAACCCUGAGCGUGCUUCCGAUACGGGCGGACUAGAGGUAUGCAGGGGAGAACGGAAUUCCUGGUGUAGCGGUGGAAUGCGCAGAUAUCAGGAGGAACACCGGUGGCGAAGGCGGUUCUCUGGGCAUUACCUGACGCUGAGGAGCGAAAGCAUGGGGAGCGAACAGG